UCCCUUUAUAAACACACUCUACUUAAAGUGUUGAAACCAUGAUUUAUGAUCAUCAAGUCAUAAUUUGUAGUGUAUUUGUUUGAAAUUUAUAAAUUUUAUGUGGUUCAAAGUUCAAUCAAUAUAACAAAUUAUAAAAUCUAGUUUGAAAAUUCUUUUCUAAAUUUAAGCAUUAAUUAAUGGAAUGUGAUUUAUGAUGUGUUAGGUGGAUACUUUUAACUUUUAGUAUUGCAUAUGCAUCUUUGAUACAAUUGUGCCCACUUUUUGUUAAGGCAACGUGAGGAACAUUCCUCUUAGUUUAAUGCUAGUUUUAGUACUUGGUCGUAAGACUCAUAGUAGCGCGUACCGUUGGUCGUAUAUAUGUUGUACGAGAAUAUCAUUAAAUGUUUUUCUCCUCGGCGUGAUUUAAAUGGUCUAAAUGUACGCAAUUUUAACCUUAUUUGAAUAAAAAGAUUGUUUUUUAGUGACCCGAAAUAGAAAAUUUCAUUUGAAAUAAAAAGUGCUCAUGAUUAAGUGCACAUUAUUUGAUUUAAUAAAGUCAUUUUACUAUGGUCUAUUAUAAUUCAGAAUUAAAGAACUUAAAAUUUUUGGUAUCAUCACAAAUGAUACGUCAGUCAUAUCAUCGUAUGCACUACAAAAAAAUAAAAUCUAAAGCAAAAUUUAACUUUUGAUACAUGUACUUGGGAAAUUAAUAAACACAAAACUAAUAAGGUUAUGAAUUCUUGCUUGAUGCUUUCUUAAAUGCAUUAUAUAGAUACAAGGGUUAAGCUGUCUAUUAGCUGACCGAUUCUCAUCGGUUGUUCUCUUAUAAUGGGACCAGAUGCUGCAGGUGACUUUAUAUGAGGUUAUUAAGAAGCUAUUGUAUUGUCUAUGUGAUACUAGGAUAUAGUAUGUAUGUAAUUUAUAUAAUGGGUAGUAACAAACUUUAUUUUUUCUUAAUCUUAAAAAUGUUGACAAAUUCAAUAAUCGUUUCGUUUUAUUAUUUUUAAUGUCAUUCCGAAUUUUAUUCCAAUCGUUCUUAAGUUCUUGAUUUUUUUUAUAUAAUUUAUUUCUCUUAAAAUAAAAUAUUAGGUUUAUAUUAUAAGUUUUUUAUUUUUUUGGUAAUUUCUUUUUUUUUUCUCUCUCCUUCGGUUGAAUAAUUAUAUUCUACUUUAAAUAUUAAGUCUAGCUAAAUUACCUAUAAUAACUUAAUCUUUUUAUUUUCUAUUUUAAUUUAUGAUUAGAAAAAAAGAAUAUAUAAUAAUAAUAAAUAAAAAACAAGAAAGAAAAUAUCUUAAAACCUUAUGAGUUGGCGGAAGACUUCAAUUAGGUGGCAUAAUAUUAGGAAUUUUCAUUUUUGCCUUAUAUCUAAAUUUUUGCUUCUACAUUAAGAAGAAAAAAUGAUGAUUAAUUAAACUCUAUAAAUAUACAAUAGAACAACCGUAGGAAGGGAAAAAAAAGAGAGAGAGAGGAAGAAAUCAAAAAAAAAAAAAAAAUCAAAAACUAAUCCCUUAAAAAUAUCUAAAAACCUAGAAAGGUUCCUAAAAAAUUCUCAAAAAAUUCCCUAAUAAUAGUAUUUUGUAUUAAUUAUAGAAAUUCAAGGGGAGGAAGCUAAUAUUGUGGCUAGAAAUUCUACAAAUAAGGAAACCGAUUAAUAGUGAAAUUAUUAAAGAAAUUCAAGGGGAAGAAGCUAAUUUUGUGGCUAGAAGUUCUACAAAUAAGGAAACCGAUUAAUCGUGAAAUUAUUAAAGG